CAGCCCCAGUUCAGCCUCCUCUCCCCGAGGCGGAGGAAGACUGCCUUUCCCAGCCUCCCUUGUGGUGGGGUUGGGGCCAUGCGAUGGAUCCCGGUGGACAGGCCGGAAGCAGAGGUGAGACAAGGCUUCUAAAGAGACAAGCCAUCUUAUUUUCUUUUGAAGCAGACAAGCUGGACGUCCCGGAUCAAAUGUCAGCAAAAUCCAUGGGAUGUACUAAGACCAACAAACGCUGAACCGGUGAAGUCACUCCGGAGUUAUGAAGACAUGAAAAGCAAAAUACCAUCCUGGAAAUGUCAGCCCAAACACGUCUCCUAUGGUUUUACUUGGCCGCCAGACCAGGAGAGUCCCAGGUCCCCUUGCCUUGCUUGUAACCCUGGAGUCCCAUCGCCAGGGGCUCCCAGCUUCAUAUUUACUUGCACUGGGACAUCACAGAACCCCUUUUAAUCCGUUUCUUCGCUUGGAAACUUGGUGUAUUCAUACCUCCUAAAGAGGAGGUGAUGUGAUGAAUAUUCAGCACUUGAAGUCGUUCCUGCCACGUGGCAAAUGUUCAACAAAUGUUGGUCAUUAUCAUCGGAACCUGGGGCUCAUUAAUACAUCGAAAAUCAUCGUGGCAUGGCUCUGUGAAAGGGGAACCGUCGGAGGGAAAUCAUUUAGACUUCUCCAAACUCCUCCAAGGGGACUAUGCCACAAGUCAGCCACUCUGGGAGAUGACAUUUCAGUAUUUGGGGAACUCUUCUCCAGCCUAGCUUUCAACAGGGCCCUAAGCACAUUCUCUUGAAUACCUGCUGUGGUGGCACAUUUGCACCCUAGAUGCUAAUUUUUGGAAAAAGAUAAAAGUCGUUUUCAGCCAA